CGGCGUGCCUAAUACAUGCAAGUCGAACGCACUGACGUCGACAGAAGGUGCUUGCACUGGAAGUUGAUUGACGUGAGUGGCGGACGGGUGAGUAACACGUGGGUAACCUGCCCUUAAGCGGGGGAUAACAUUUGGAAACAGAUGCUAACACCGCAUAAAAGUUGAGAUCACAUGGUCUUAAUUUGAAAGACGGCCUUUGGCUGUCACUUAAGGAUGGACCCGCGGCGUAUUAGCUAGUUGGUGAGAUAAUAGCCCACCAAGGCGAUGAUACGUAGCCGACCUGAGAGGGUAAUCGGCCACAUUGGGACUGAGACACGGCCCAAACUCCUACGGGAGGCAGCAGUAGGGAAUCUUCCACAAUGGACGAAAGUCUGAUGGAGCAACGCCGCGUGAGUGAAGAAGGUUUUCGGAUCGUAAAACUCUGUUGUUGGAGAAGAACAGGGACUAGAGUAACUGUUAGUCCUUUGACGGUAUCCAACCAGAAAGCCACGGCUAACUACGUGCCAGCAGCCGCGGUAAUACGUAGGUGGCAAGCGUUGUCCGGAUUUAUUGGGCGUAAAGCGAGCGCAGGCGGUUUCUUAAGUCUGAUGUGAAAGCCUUCGGCUUAACCGAAGAAGUGCAUCAGAUACUGGGAAACUUGAGUGCAGAAGAGGAAAGUGGAACUCCAUGUGUAGCGGUGAAAUGCGUAGAUAUAUGGAAGAACACCAGUGGCGAAGGCGGCUUUCUGGUCUGUAACUGACGCUGAGGCUCGAAAGUAUGGGGAGCGAACAGGAUUAGAUACCCUGGUAGUCCAUACCGUAAACGAUGAAUGCUAAGUGUUGGAGGGUUUCCGCCCUUCAGUGCUGCAGCUAACGCAUUAAGCAUUCCGCCUGGGGAGUACGACCGCAAGGUUGAAACUCAAAGGAAUUGACGGGGGCCCGCACAAGCGGUGGAGCAUGUGGUUUAAUUCGAAGCUACGCGAAGAACCUUACCAGGUCUUGACAUCUAGCGCCAAUCCUAGAGAUAGGACGUUCCCUUCGGGGACGCUAAGACAGGUGGUGCAUGGUUGUCGUCAGCUCGUGUCGUGAGAUGUUGGGUUAAGUCCCGCAACGAGCGCAACCCUUAUGAUUAGUUGCCAGCAUUUAGUUGGGCACUCUAAUCAGACUGCCGGUGACAAACCGGAGGAAGGUGGG
rnacentral:rRNA from 1 species